AGGCUGAAAGGUGUGAGUUGGUCUUCAGGUUCUGAGAAUACAUUCCCUGCAGAUUCUCUAAAAUGGGACCCUUCCUUCUUACUCAAGAUCAGAUCCCUAUUCUGGGAGUUGUCCAUGGGAAGUGACAGUAAACCGGAAGAUCAGUCCCCUGCCAUCUUAAUCUGAUUUGGUACAGUCAUCAGAGCAGGGAUGGACGAGACAUGCCAUCUGACAUCAUCCGGGAUCUUCAGCAGGACAGGAGUUUCCUCCCAGAUCUCCUUCUCCCCUGCAGUGACCUUCGAAGGGGGAUGGAUCCCUCUGUCUUGUGUUGUUAGAAGAGGCCCAGAGCACUUAGAGAGUGCCAUGUGCUUCUGGCUUCUCGAGCAGCUGGAGGAGGGCCUGGGAGAAGGGCUCAUUUUAGCACUCAAAGGUGGAUGAGGCUGGAUAUCUUGUCCUGUUGAGCAGACGGGAGAGGGCCCUGCCCUCCACUUUGUGAGGAUCUUGGAAGUAUGACGAAGCUGCCACCUGCGUGGAACAUUUCCCCUGGAUACUGCUUUAGGUGGUGCUGACAGUCAUGAGCUGCGUGAACUUGUAGAGGCACAAGGCUCUGGCCUUCGCCCCAUAGAUGUAACAGUCCAUAUCAAGCUGUCCCCAGAGGGAGCCCCUGUCACCUCUUCCAGUCCUAAGUCCAAAGGAGGAUCAUCUGUGGAGAAUGACUAUCAGGUUGGGCCAGCACGAGGUGACUAAGGGUCAGGGGUGAUGAAGGGGAUUCAGAGAUCUUUCCCAGAUCGACUGUUGGCAAGUCUAAGACUUCACAUGUGAAUUGUCUGGUGGCACACAACUGAGUGGAGAAUCUCACGGGAAAGAGGUCAUGUCAUCUCUCUGAUUACAUUCUCCUGUAACAGACUCUUUCUUGCUAGUUGUUUUAAAUGGUUCCCUUUCCUCCUGGGAGCUCAGUGAACCCACCCAUGCACCUCUGCAACCUUGGCGGUUUGGAUUAGCUGUGGGACUGAGCAAUGAAAUAUGGCAAAAGUGACGCUCCCACCUCUGGGCUUGUGCUGUAAACCGUCCCAGGCGUGACCCUUCACUGCCUUCCUCCAUCUUCCACUUCGGUGGCAUCACCGAAGAAGAGCUGCCCAGGAGUCCCCCACUCACGGACACCGCCAUGGGGCUACUGUGUGGGAAAUUCUAAGACACUCCAGUAAUUAAUAAUGAUGUCAACAGCCCAUCCAACUUGCUCUGAAAUAUAGUGUCUAGGAAUAUCGCACUGGCCCUUCAUCCAAAGUCUAAUUGUCUGAAAGAACUGCAUCCAAGAUGCUGUGAUUCCAUGAGAUGAAACACAACAAGUGCGAGGCUGCUCGGGAAGCAAGUGUUCAAGAAAGAGAAGAUUUCAUUAGGCUGAUUUGUCCCGGGGAAUGAGAUUAAGCAGAGUGUGCGCACCUCACACGGAGGUGGGAUUCCCAGCAGGAGUCGACCCCGUCGUCAAGAGGCCAUGGGGCAAAGGGCCUUCUGAGCUCAAGGUUGAGAAUGUCCCAAAGUCCCUCAAUUCAGACUCACCGGCUUGAUUUGAAGAGGUGAUUAUUUCCACCACCAUCUCCAUCUUCUGAAGGACUCGAUCCCAGCCACUGCCCUGAGUGUGAUCCCUACACUACACACAGAGUGCCAAUGAGGAGAACCCAGGACCAUAGGAUGCCACUCAAUGUCCCACUGAGUCUGGCAGAGCUGGGACAACCAGCUCUGUCACUAACCAGCUGUGUGAUUCUGGGCAAGUAACUUAACCCCUCUGAGCUUCAUUUCCUUCUUCAAAUGGGGAUAAUAAACAAGUUGUUCCUCA